AACGAACGCUGGCGGCAUGCCUAACACAUGCAAGUCGAACGAGACCUUCGGGUCUAGUGGCGCACGGGUGCGUAACGCGUGGGAACCUGCCCUUAGGUUCGGAAUAACUCCCCGAAAGGGGUGCUAAUACCGGAUAAUGUCUUCGGACCAAAGAUUUAUCGCCUUUGGAUGGGCCCGCGUUGGAUUAGCUAGUUGGUAGGGUAAAAGCCACCAAGGCGACGAUCCAUAGCUGGUCUGAGAGGAUGAUCAGCCACACUGGGACUGAGACACGGCCCAGACUCCUACGGGAGGCAGCAGUGGGGAAUAUUGGACAAUGGGCGAAAGCCUGAUCCAGCAAUGCCGCGUGAGUGAUGAAGGCCUUAGGGUUGUAAAGCUCUUUUACCCGGGAUGAUAAUGACAGUACCGGGAGAAUAAGCUCCGGCUAACUCCGUG
rnacentral:rRNA from 1 species